GUGGUAGCCUAAUGGUUAGUGCACUGGACUCCGGAUCAAGCAGUCCAGGUUCCAGCGCAGACUGGGGUCAUUGUAUUGUGUUCUUAGGUAAGACACUGUUCUUAGGCUGCAGAGCGGGAGGUCGUGGGUUCAAAUCCCGGCCGGACCA